GUCAAUAACCCCGCCCUGUAGAGGGACGGGGCUUGUAAGAGCCAAAUCUUACGUGUUUGACUAGCCCAUUGAGACACAACUUGGUACACACUGCCAGAUACUUCCCCAGUCUGGUUUAUUUGUAAGACUGUUUGGUCAGUCGUUAGAAGAGCUAAGUCAUCUUAGUUGUGUUGGGCGAGGGGACUUAAUACUUUGCUCGGAG
rnacentral:sRNA from 1 species